CUAGAAAUGACGAGAUGGGCGUGCUCCUGACUCUUGACCAUUGGGAAAUCUUCCCAGCCUGGUAGCACGCCAAGCCUUGGGGGGUUCAGUGGCGGAGGCGGCUAUCUUUCUGGGAUAGGGGCUGAAUUGUUCCUUUGCUGCUUUUGCUACCCUGUGGGUGCCAUGUUUUAUCUCCUCUGCGAUACCUGUUUGCCAUCCCUGCCUUGGAGCCAGGUGAUUAUGGACUGAAACUUCUACAAAUUUGCACGUUGUUCAGAAUACUAAGAAGCUCCUGGCCAGACAUGGUGGUACAAGCCUAUAAGCCCAGCACUCAGGAGGCAGAGGCAAGAGGAUCACUGAGUUCAAAGCCAGGCUGAACUACAUAGUAAGACCCUGUCUCAAAAAAAAAAAAAAGCUCCUGAUAAAAGAGGAAGACGAGAGAGGUAACAAGAAUGGCCUGCCACACAGGAAAGGAAAACUAAGCACUUGUACUGUCAGGUAAGCAAAAUGUGUGCAUGGAAUAUAUAGCUGUCAUGUGAAGAUUGCCUUGGGUGUGACAAUUGAAGAAAAGAUUUUUUUGAAAGGAUUGUUUUUGUUGUAGAGUUCUGUUGGUAUUUUCGUUGUAGUUCAUAGAGGAUUGCAAGUUCCCCACACACCCCCUUGGUACCAGGGCUUGUAUGUAGUUCAUAGAGGAAUGUAUUUCUGAUAAUUAUCUUUUAGGUUUUGUAAGUACACAGCUGAUGUGAGAAUGUUGAUGUUUAUUCUAAACAUGUAAUAUGUAUUAAGAAUUUAAUACUUUAGUGUAUUGAUAUUUUAUGUUCCUCUUAACUACACAUUGUAUAAUAAAAACUUCCUAGCUGGGUGUAGUGGUGCUGUAAUCCCAGCACUUGGGAGGCUGAGGCAGGAGAAUUGCUUUGAGUUGGAAGCCAGCCUGGGCUACAUAGUGAAUUCAAGGCCAGCCUGAACUACAUAGGGAGACCUUGUCUCAAAACAAACAAACAAACAAAAGACUCCUGACAAAAUAGCAAGACCAACAAGAUGUCAAGUAGGAAGGUACAAGUUCCCAAUGAGAAAUGUAAAUGUAUUGUAUACCUAAAAUGUACCAAUAAAGGAAGUUAAGGAAAAAAAAAGAUGUCAAGUAUGUCUUACAAAAAGGCCAGGAAAGCAAAACACAUAUGCUGUCAGUGUAAGUAAUACAUGUGUAUUGAAUGUGCUGUUGUCAUGUGUGAAGACUAAGUUGUAAUAAUUGAAGUAAAGAUUAUUUUCUGUAGAGUUUGUUGGCAUUUUCUUUGUAGUUCAUAUAGGAAUUUCUGUUGGUUUUUUUAAGACUUUGU
rnacentral:lncRNA from 1 species